GCUGAUCCUGGACCAUCCCACAGAUGCUCAAUCAGAUCUGGAUGUGGGGAGUGUGGAACCCAGAUGUUCAGAGGGAGAUGAUGCCACAUCUGGUCCAGCCGAUGGAAGGUCUUGAAGUUCUCUGACUGGCCUCAACUGAAGAUGGUCGUCUCACUGGAUUUAAGAUGCACAAUGAGGGACGUCUGCAGAGACUGAGAAAGAGUCUCACCACAUCCUGACAUGAGGAAAAAGACUUUAUUGAAGACUACAAUGAGAAAAACUAUCAGACAGCAGACGGCUGCAUUCAAGGUGAGCUCUGAACAUUUGAUCUGGAACAGGAAUUCAGUAACGGCAGC
ensembl:lncRNA